rnacentral:rRNA from 1 species
CUCAGGACGAACGCUGGCGGCGUGCCUAAUACAUGCAAGUCGAGCGGACAGAAGGGAGCUUGCUCCCGGAUGUUAGCGGCGGACGGGUGAGUAACACGUGGGUAACCUGCCUGUAAGACUGGGAUAACUCCGGGAAACCGGAGCUAAUACCGGAUAGUUCCUUGAACCGCAUGGUUCAAGGAUGAAAGACGGUUUCGGCUGUCACUUACAGAUGGACCCGCGGCGCAUUAGCUAGUUGGUGGGGUAAUGGCUCACCAAGGCGACGAUGCGUAGCCGACCUGAGAGGGUGAUCGGCCACACUGGGACUGAGACACGGCCCAGACUCCUACGGGAGGCAGCAGUAGGGAAUCUUCCGCAAUGGACGAAAGUCUGACGGAGCAACGCCGCGUGAGUGAUGAAGGUUUUCGGAUCGUAAAGCUCUGUUGUUAGGGAAGAACAAGUGCGAGAGUAACUGCUCGCACCUUGACGGUACCUAACCAGAAAGCCACGGCUAACUACGUGCCAG